rnacentral:rRNA from 1 species
GGAAGUGGCGGACGGGUGAGUAACGCGUGGGUAACCUGCCUUACACAGGGGGAUAACACCUGGAAACAGGUGCUAAUACCGCAUAAGCGCACAGGGCCGCAUGGCCCGGUGUGAAAAACUCCGGUGGUGUAAGAUGGACCCGCGUCUGAUUAGCUUGUUGGCGGGGUAGGGGCCCACCAAGGCGACGAUCAGUAGCCGGCCUGAGAGGGUGGACGGCCACAUUGGGACUGAGACACGGCCCAAACUCCUACGGAAGGCAGCAG